UAGGGAAUAUUGCGCAAUGGGGGCAACCCUGACGCAGCAAUGCCGCGUGAGUGAAGAAGGCCUUCGGGUCGUAAAGCUCUUUUAUGGGGGAAGAUGAUGACGGUACCCCAUGAAUAAGCACCGGCUAACUACGUGCCAGCAGCCGCGGUAAUACGUAGGGUGCGAGCGUUGUUCGGAAUUACUGGGCGUAAAGGGCGUGCAGGCGGAUUGGCAAGCCGGAGGUGAAAGCCCGGGGCUCAACCCCGGAGGGUCUUUCGGAACUGCCAGUCUUGAGAGGGUCAGGGGCCAGCGGAAUUCCUGGUGUAGAGGUGAAAUUCGUAGAGAUCAGGAGGAACACCGGCGGCGAAAGCGGCUGGCUGGGGCCACUCUGACGCUGAGGCGCGAAAGCGUGGGGAGCAAACAGG
rnacentral:rRNA from 1 species